rnacentral:lncRNA from 1 species
CUGCAGCACCUAUUGCAAUAACACAGCAUCUAUCGUGACACUGCAGCACCUAUAGUGAUAACACAACAUCUAUCGUGACACUGCAGCACCUAUCGCGAUAACACUGCGUCUAUUGCGACGCCGCAGCACCUAUCGCGACGCCGCUGCAUCCCCCUCAGCCUGGCGCUUGUCCCGCUUGGACCCCCCCAUGCAGGGGGGCGGUUGGGGUAUAUUGGGGUCCCUCUCCCACUGCUGGGGGGUCCGGGCGACGAUGCUGAGCGCGUGCAGCGGCCCCCGGAGCUCCGCGCCCAGCACGGCGUGCACCAGGCGGUGUCGCUCAAUGGGGCUGAGCCCCUCGAAGCGCCCGCUGACCACCAGCAGCCCGAAGUGAGUCUCGGAGCCGGGGGGGGCGCCGUGCCGGGGGGAGUGGUCCUCCAGGUGGAGGUGGGUGGGCUGCAGGGCUGCCGUCAGCUUGGAGAGGAUGGAGCGGGCGACGGGGCCGGAGGGCAGCGCUGAGAGGGUCGGGGGCGGCAUCGGGGCACGCUCCGCAGCAGCACCGCUGCGCCGCGGGGCACGA